UACGUAGGUGGCAAGCGUUGUCCGGAUUUACUGGGCGUAAAGAGCGCGCAGGCGGUCGUUCAAGUCGCGUGUGAAAGCCCCCGGCUCAACUGGGGAGGGUCACGCGAUACUGAUCGACUCGAAGGCAGGAGAGGGUAGUGGAAUUCCCGGUGUAGUGGUGAAAUGCGUAGAUAUCCGGAGGAACACCAGCGGCGAAGGCGGCAUCCUGGACUGGUCCUGACACUCAGGAGCGAAAGCGUGGGGAGCGAUCCGG
rnacentral:rRNA from 1 species